UACGUAGGGCGCAAGCGUUGUCCGGAAUUAUUGGGCGUAAAGAGCUCGUAGGCGGCCUGUCACGUCGGAUGUGAAAGCCCGGGGCUUAACCCCGGGUCUGCAUUCGAUACGGGCAGGCUAGAGUUCGGUAGGGGAGAUCGGAAUUCCUGGUGUAGCGGUGAAAUGCGCAGAUAUCAGGAAGAACACCAAUGGCGAAGGCAGCUCUCUGGGACGGUACUGACGCUGAGACACGAAAGCGUGGGUAGCAAACAGG
rnacentral:rRNA from 1 species